GAAAGGAGGGAGGUGGAGGUAGUAGGGUGAUGGUGAGAGGAGGUGGAGGUAGCAGGGUGAUGGUGAGAGGAGGUGGAGGUAGCAGGGUGAUGGUGAGAGGUGGAGGUAGCAGGGUGAUGGUGAGAGGUGGAGGUAGUAGGGUGAUGGUGAGAGGUGGAGGUAGCAGGGUGAUGGUGAGAGGUGGAGGUAGCAGGGUGAUGGUGAGAGGUGGAGGUAGCAGGGUGAUGGUGAGAGGAGGGAGGUGGAGGUAGUAGGCUGAUGGUGAGAGGUGGAAGUAGCAGGGUGAUGGUGAGAGGUGGAGGUAGUAGGGUGAUGGUGAGAGGAGGGAGGUGGAGGUAGUAGGGUGAUGGUGAGAGGAGGGAGGUGAUGGUUAGAGGAGGGAGGUGGAGGUAUUAGGGUGAUGAUGAGAGGAGAUGAGGUAGAGGUAGUAGGAUGAGGAGAGGAGGUGUUCAGGAGUUCUGAAGGGUGAGUGUGGAGAGGAGGGAGGUGGAGGUAGUAAGGUGAUGGUUAGAGGAGGGAGGUGGAGGUAGUAGGGUGAUGGUUAGAGGAGGGAGGUGGAGGUAGUAGGGUGAUGGUGAGAAGAGGGAGGUGGAGGUAGUAGGGUGAUGGUGAGAAGAGGGAGGUGGAGGUAGUAGGGUGAUGGUGAGGAGAGGGAGGUGGAGGCAGUAGGGUGAUGGUGAGGAGAGGGAGAUGGGGGCAGUAGGGUGAUGGUGAGAGGAGGGAGGUGGAGGUAGUAGGGUGAUGGUGAGAGGAGGGAGGUGGAGGUAGUAGGGUGAUGGUGAGAGGAGGGAGGUGAUGGUUAGAGGAGG
ensembl:lncRNA